GGCGAACGCUGGCGGCGUGCCUAAUACAUGCAAGUCGAACGCUUCUUUCCUCCCGAGUGCUUGCACUCAAUUGGAAAGAGGAGUGGCGGACGGGUGAGUAACACGUGGGUAACCUACCCAUCAGAGGGGGAUAACACUUGGAAACAGGUGCUAAUACCGCAUAACAGUUUAUGCCGCAUGGCAUAAGAGUGAAAGGCGCUUUCGGGUGUCGCUGAUGGAUGGACCCGCGGUGCAUUAGCUAGUUGGUGAGGUAACGGCUCACCAAGGCCACGAUGCAUAGCCGACCUGAGAGGGUGAUCGGCCACACUGGGACUGAGACACGGCCCAGACUCCUACGGGAGGCAGCAGUAGGGAAUCUUCGGCAAUGGACGAAAGUCUGACCGAGCAACGCCGCGUGAGUGAAGAAGGUUUUCGGAUCGUAAAACUCUGUUGUUAGAGAAGAACAAGGACGUUAGUAACUGAACGUCCCCUGACGGUAUCUAACCAGAAAGACACGGCUAACUACGUG
rnacentral:rRNA from 1 species